AUGGUCGGUGCAACAGUGCACCGACAUAAUUACAAAAAUGCCCUGCGUCACGCACAACAGUUCUUUCUCUGUCUAGGGUUACACAACCACCACCAUGGAGGGCUGCUAGGAUCGAAACGUGUUUCUCUUCUUCUGCACUAAACCUAAAUGUACCCUAAUAGGCUUUUCUUCACAUACGCUCCUUUAUCUUGCAUCAGCCUCUACAAAUCAGAAACCGCAAAAAAUUCAGUCUUAGGUUUGUGAAAAUCAGCAUCGGAUCAUGGAGAUGGAGCGUAUUACCGACUUUCCGAUGAGUACUGUUCACAUUGGACCGAGAGAACUACAACGAUUUGCCUGGAUGUUGUUCAAAAGGCGGCUAAGGUUAGAAUGUGAUGGAUCAGAAGAGCAACAACAAGGAAACUGAGAACGUGAUGGCUGGUGGAGGCGAUGGCGUUUGUGAAGUGGACCUCAAAUUGUAUAAGAGAUUUCAACAACUAUCUGUUGCUUUGGCCAUGACAUUUAGUUCAUGGCUUCAUGCACCAUGGGUAUGUGUGUCAUUCCUUCAGUAAUUUAUUUUUGAAUUUGCAAUAUAGAAAGUUUCUCAAUCCAAUGUAUUUCUGCAUAUGAUGCUUAUUUUGGGAUUCACUAAAUGCAUUAUACUAAUUCAAAGUAAUAUGGAUUGAGAUUACUAUACAACCCCAGAAGAAACUAUGGAUUUUGGGAUCAUAGAUGAAGUUUUGCAUGUGAGAGUUGAGACCAAUAACUUUGGUGGCUAAUGGUGAGAGUGAUGGAAAUGGGAACUCUCAUAGUAGAAUCAGUGGCGAAGCUUGAAUUUUUUGGCCGGGGGGGCGAAAACGUAUAUACCCAAAAAUUUCUAUAGAACCGGGGGGCGAGUAGAAUUUAAUAUAAGUUUGUCGAUGUGGUGCAUGUUGGGAGAAAUUUUUUAUUUUCAAACAUUUCAGGGACAAAGGUAAAUUCUAUGCCUUCAACUUUUGACACUUUGGUCAUUUUCAACUUACUCAUGUUUCUUUUUACCAUUCUCAGUAAGUUUUAUUUCUCAGGUAAUCUCUUGAGUUUCUUUGUAAUUUUAUUAUAUUUAUCAAUAGAUUCAGUUCUAUUAAUUAAUGAACCUUAAUUUUUUUUUUCAGCAAGAAUAUGAAUGAAUAUAUUUGGGAUUUAUACCUACAAGUGGACUUGAACGAAACUGAGGUUAUCUACAUCUUGGCGGGGCAAUCCGGAUGGUCAUGUCAAGGAAAAACUGAUUCUCUCACAUUGCAACCGGUCUGGAUGGUAAUGUCAAGAUACAACUGGUUCUCUCACAUUGCAACUGGUUGCUUUGUAGGCACAACUUUUGCUGGAAGUACAAUUACACCAAAGUUGUUUAGGUUGCAACUUAGUUUUUUUGUUUUGUUAUCUAAAAGUUGAAGAGCAUCUGAACACUUUUGUUGUUUUAUACUUUUGUAUAUAUAUCUCAACUCCCAAUAUCAGAUU